UUUGAAACCGCGGUUCUCGUACGAUCAACGAAGUUAAAAACAACAUCGAGCCGGAUCAGUACCUAGAUGGGUGACCGCUUGGAAAUACCAAGUGCUGUAAU